GUCUCGGUAGUGUAAGGGAGAGAGCACGGUGUCCGGAAAGCACAAGUACGGGUUCGAGUCCCGUCUGAGACU
rnacentral:tRNA from 1 species